rnacentral:rRNA from 1 species
GGUGAACCUGCAGAUGGAUCAUCUCGAUAUAACAAUCGAGGUUUGUUUCCGCAAACCUGACUGAGGUGUGGCUCCGCACCUUUUCCAAAAAAACUGGGCUACCCAAUUACACACGGUUGCAUCGGUCGGCCUGUCAAACAGUGCAAGCGCAAGUUUGCUACUGGGAAAGCAGCCGACAACAAUUUAACACACACGAUUGAUACUUAGGAUUUGAACGUCAAUCUGAUAGACACAGCUGGUAAUUCGGUUGUAUAAUCUAACACACAACUUUUGGCAACGGAUCUCUUGGUUCUCCCAUCGAUGAAGAACGCAGCGAAACGCGAUAGGUAAUGUGAAUUGCAGAAUGUGAAUCAUCGAAUCUUUGAACGCACCUUGCGCUCUCCUGGACUUACAUCCGGAGAGCAUGCCUGUCUGAGGGCCGCGAAUUUCUUUGAACGACAGUUUUUUUCUUCGGAAUGAAGACUGGCGGAUCAGUUUUGAGGGUUUUUGCCACUUGCACUGGCUCCCUCUAAAUGCAUUAGCUGGACUCGACCAAAAUACCAAAAAAGUAAUGAGUUGGUGAGGUAGGAAACCCCUCUCCGGUCGAUUUUGAUAAUUGUCAAGAUUCGAACGUGACGGAAACCCAAGCCAUCUUCAUGAAAAAUAUUUCCAGAGUCUGCGCUUCUCAAAGCCACCCAUGGCCUGCCUUGGCAGGAAAGGGAAUUUUAAUUCAAACGGCCUCAGAUCAGGUAGGAUUACCCGCUGAACUUAAGCAUAUCAAUAAGCGGAGGA